CAUGCAAAUAUAAUAACUAAUAUCAAUUUCAGGAGUGGAGAGGGCAAAUGCCCAGUCUUGCUCCACCCAUACCCGCCCAUGAAAAGGAAAUGUCGCUGCUGAUCGGCAAACGUUUUAUCCGCAAUCGAUCCGCCUUUAUAUAUUCUUCCUCUUCUUACUUUUAUUUUUUCCCCCUAUUAUUUCAUCGCCAAUUGCGUACGCGAUCUUCAAUAACCUCUACAGCCGAUUUUUUGUAUUUUUUGGUCUUAUCUCUUCUCCGAGACUUAAAUCUCUAACACUCGUAUCGCCUCGAUUCGGUCCCGUACGUCACCCGGAUCUCUCGUUUUUCCCGCCAUACGUCCCAAUACCUUAUAAUUCAACCGGGGAUAAUAAUAAUAUAUCACGCGUCCGGUUACACGUGUAUACAAGCCAAAAGUUAACGUUUCUGCCCGGGUACACGCACUUUUAUUGCCAUGUUGUCGAAACCUUCAUAAACGUACAGAUAAAUAAACAACGCAAAUACCGGGCGAGCUGUGGGCGAACACGAGCAGAUUUUAUUAUUAUAAUCUCGAAACACUAGUAUUAUA